rnacentral:tRNA from 1 species
CGCGGGGUGGAGCAGCUCGGUAGCUCGUCGGGCUCAUAACCCGAAGGUCGUCAGUUCAAAUCUGGCCCCGCAACCAA